rnacentral:rRNA from 1 species
CCUACGGGAGGCAGCAGUGGGGAAUAUUGCACAAUGGGCGCAAGCCUGAUGCAGCGACGCCGCGUGCGGGAUGGAGGCCUUCGGGUUGUAAACCGCUUUUGUUCAAGGGCAAGGCACGGUCGUUGGCCGGGUUGAGUGGAGGGUUCGAAGAAGCACCGGCUAACUACGUGCCAGCAGCCGCGGUAAUACGUAGGGUGCAAGCGUUAUCCGGAUGUAUUGGGCGUAAAGGGCUCGUAGGCGGUUCGUCGCGUCCGGUGUGAAGGUCCAUCGCGUAACGGUGGAUCCGCGCCGGGUACGGGCGGGCUUGAGUGCGGUAGGGGCGACUGGAAUUCCCGGUGUAGCGGUGGACUGUGUAGAUAUCGGGAA